rnacentral:lncRNA from 1 species
AUGAAGUCUGAGGAGGAAAUCAUGGAAGUGCAGAGGGGAGGGAGGAGAGGGAAUACUGGGCCUGGGAACGGCAUGGCCGAAAGGUGGAAAUGGGCCAGGCCUCUUGCCACAGCAGCAUGGUGGCUAGGCCAGAGGGAGCUUGAGGAAGAGGAGGAAUGUAGGAAGAAGCAAGUUCCAGGAAGGGUUCAGGGCUGGUCAGGACUUGCCGGCCACAUUCAGGAUGUAGGCUGUGAGAGGGUCAAGGGACCGAGGGAUGGUUUUGAGCAAAGGGGAGGCAAGGGUAUCUGUGUGUGUGUGUCUGAGCGUGGACAGACUGAAGCCUUGCUUUCCCCUGCUCAGGGGCUCUGGAUCUCACGUUCUCCCCUGCCCCCUCCACCAGAGCAAUGUCCAGCUCCUCUCUUAACCUGCUGCUUCCCCUCCCCCUCCCCCACUCCAGCACCCUCCUGGCUCAGCGCCUGUGUCCUCACCUGAGGGCAAGGUAGGUACUCAGAGAGUGUUAAUUGCUCAGUUGUGUCCAACUCUUCGCGACCCCAUGGACUGUAGCCUGCCAGGCUUCUCUGUCCAUGUGAUUUUCCAGGCAAGAAUACUGGAGUGCAUUCCCAUUUCCUUCUCCAGGGGAUCUUCCCAACCCAGGGAUGGAGCCCAGGUCUUCCAUAUUGCAGGCGGGCAAGAUAAAUAUACUGUCGGAGCCACCAGGAAAGCCCCAGCGGCUCAGAGGACCUGGUUUCUCUCGGGCACCAGUCUGGCCCUUUCAGCUCCCAGGACCCCACGCUCACUGGUUUGAGUUGCACGACCAGGUUGGUGCCAGGUGCUGUGCUGAGAGCCUUACAGAGAUGAGCCUGUGCAGUCCUGUCUGUGAAGCAAGUGCAUUGAAAAUCCCCAUUUUGUUGCAGCAAGGGGGAACCCUUCCAGGUCCCAAAAGACGUUUUGCAAGACUGAAGACCCUUUUGACUUUACUUCCUCUCUGCCUCUCCCUUCUGCCUCCUGACUUCAAUGUCUUGUUGCAGUGACAGAACCCGUGCCAUUGGCAACAGAAGCUCAGAGUCUUAAUCAUUUGGUCUGCCACAAAAGUCCCUGAAUCUUGUUUUUUUUUUUUUUUUAAUGUAAUACUUUUCAGAGUGCUUUGAUAUCAGUACAAAAAGAAAUCUCUUGUUCUUUUUUGUUUUUUGGAAAAGAGGAGUGUUUUGGUUUAUUAUUAUUAUUAUUUUGGUAAUAGCUUUAGAAAUAUAAUUUAUGCACUAUCCAAUUCCUUAGUUUACAAUGUUCAAGUCAAGGGUUUUUCAAUAAUGCCACAGAGUUGGGCAGCUUUUACCAC